rnacentral:rRNA from 1 species
GACGAACGCUGGCGGCGUGCCUAACACAUGCAAGUCGAGCGAUGAAAUCCUUCGGGAUGGAUUAGCGGCGGACGGGUGAGUAACACGUGGGUAACCUACCUCAAAGAGGGGGAUAGCCUCCCGAAAGGGAGAUUAAUACCGCAUAACAUUAGUUUUUCGCAUGAAGAACUAAUUAAAGGAGUAAUCCGCUUUGAGAUGGACCCGCGGCGCAUUAGCUAGUUGGUGAGGUAAAGGCUCACCAAGGCGACGAUGCGUAGCCGACCUGAGAGGGUGAUCGGCCACAUUGGAACUGAGAUACGGUCCAGACUCCUACGGGAGGCAGCAGUGGGGAAUAUUGCACAAUGGGCGAAAGCUUGAUGCAGCAACGCCGCGUGAGUGAUGAAGGCCUUCGGGUUGUAAAGCUCUGUCUUUGGGGACGAUAAUGACGGUACCCAAGGAGGAAGCCACGGCUAACUACGUGCCAGCCGCCGCAGUAAAAC